rnacentral:rRNA from 2 species
AGUAACGGCGAGUGAAGCGGGAUGAGCUCAAAUUUGAAAUCUGGCUGGUUUACCAGUCCGAGUUGUAGUUUAAAGAAGCGUUUUCGGUGGCAGUCUCGGUAUAAAUCCUUUGGAAUAGGGUAUCAUAGAGGGUGAGAAUCCCGUCUUUGACUGAGAAUAUGCUACUAUGUGAUACGUUUUCAAAGAGUCGAGUUGUUUGGGAAUGCAGCUCAAAAUGGGUGGUAAAUUUCAUCUAAAGCUAAAUAUUGGCGAGAGACCGAUAGCGAACAAGUACCGUGAGGGAAAGAUGAAAAGAACUUUGAAAAGAGAGUUAAACAGUGCGUGAAAUUGUUGAAAGGGAAACGCUUGAAACCAGUCAUGUGGUUGGGAAAUCAGUCUCUGACGAGGGGGAAUGGGGAAGGUGUGGACCGCAAGGCCGCUCUUUUUCAUAUCUCUUUCGGCAGGGAUGCACUUUUUCUUCUGCAGGUCAACAUCAGUUUGCUUUGCCGGACAAAACUUGGGGGAAGGUGACAGCUUAGGCUGUGUUAUAGCCCUCGAGCGAUACGGUGGGGUGGACUGAGGUUUUCGCAGCAUGUGCUCUCGGGCAAGGCUGAUUGGGUGCUAUGAGAUCGUUCAGGGUACAAUACAUGUAUUUUGCUCUGUGUCUUUUUUAUACUCGCUCAAUUGGGCUCUUCCAUGC